AUCAGUAGCAGACCUGAGAGGGUGAUCGGCCACAUUGGAACUGAGACACGGUCCAAACUCCUACGGGAGGCAGCAGUGGGGCAUAUUGCACAAUGGGCGAAAGCCUGAUGCAGCAACGCCGCGUGAGGGAUGAAGGCCUUCGGGUCGUAAAACUCUGUCCUCAAGGAGGAUAAUGACGGUACUUGAGGAGGAAGCCCCGGCCAAA
rnacentral:rRNA from 1 species